ensembl:lncRNA
AAAUGACAUUAGAUGUGGGUUCUACCCUCCAAGCAAAGCAGGAGGAGGGAAGUACAGGCAGGGAGUAAUUUAAGGAGUACCAACUAAGUGGCAAGCAGGUUGUGACACCUUACUCAAAUAUCACAUCCCCACAAGAUAGGUCUGGUCAUUCCCUGUUGACUUGUCAAGAACCAGCAGCUCGGAGAUUUGCAAAAACCAUCCCUCCUACAACAGAGAGAGGGGCAUAUCCCCUCUGGGCUCCUCCGGACAUCUUUUUCUUUUCCUUCACCCUGAUUUCCAGGAUCAGCAGACCCAGGCCAGCAAAGGCUAGCUGGAGCAGCCCCCAAAUUCUGACCAAGGCGCCAGCAGGAACAAAAGGAAACCACUUCUUGUGUUUCUCUGAGGCUGAUUGAUACACUGGGAGCAGGAAACCCAUGAGAAAGUCCCUUUCCCUCUCAAAAUUGAGAGCUUCCAGUGGGCUCUGCAAAUGUGCCAAGACCCUCCCUCCCUCAGCUUUCCAUGGUGAAGGCCUGCGUGGGGCAGGAAGCAAGCCUGCCAAGCUCUGUCCUCAGCUAAAUGCUCCCUAGCCAGGCACCGGUUCCCAGGCCACUGCCAGGCUCUGUAGUCCUUUCUGAAGGCCGUGGGCCGUGAUGAAUAUGUGAGAAAAACAAACAUUUGUCCUAGGGUUUGGGAAAAAAGGGAAGGGACGCUUGGAGAGAAACUCCCACAAGCAGGCCUGGGAAACCCCAGGGGUCUAAUUGAAUGGGUUUAAAAUAGUAAAUAUGAAAUCUAAACCCAGAUGGUGCUUUUUUUCCCAAAGGAAGCAAACCACUCAUUAAGCCGAUUCCUUCAUAGCAGAUCACCUUAAAAACAACGAGAAGCAAACCUCCCCCCACUGCUAUCUUGUUGCCAAAGUCCCUUUUUGAUCACACAGCUGAGCAGACAGGAGCCAGGGGCCAAGGGAGGUCAUUGGGAGGAGGGAGUGGAUUUCUCCCCGAUUUGCUCUGAUCAUACUGAUAAUUUCGUAGCAGGCCAUAUUAGGGGUAGUGUUAGCUCCUUCUGGACCCUGGGUUCCUUCUCAAAAUCCUUCUCUGAAUAGGGCGCCCAAAGGAAAAAAGAAAUGAAAGUAGUAGCCAGUGGCCCAGAGACAUCCAACAAGGCAAGUCCAGGGAUGAGAGGAACCAAUGAAUGAAGGAAGCAAGCAAUGCCUUCAUCACACUUGCCCCACCUAGUUCAAGCUGCCCUGGCUUGAAGUCCUCCAAUAGGAAAGAUGAGCAGGACCCCAAAAGGGGAGGCCAAGCAAGAUCACCCCAAAUCAUGGAGACCCACUUGUUAACUUUCACCUUGUUCCUGCUUAUUGACUUACUCCUGGGCAUGCAGGGGCCACUGGCAAGAUGGACACAGCAAAGACAGACCUGAGAUACCCCCAAUUCGAGGACUCCCCCAGGAGGCCUUAGGCUGGACCACACUGCAACCCUGGACCCCUUAAAUACACCAUAUUCACCAAGUCUAAGACACUGUCUAUGGUAAGAUGCCCCAUUGUUUUAGAGACUAC